CCUACGGGUGGCAGCAGUGAGGAAUAUUGGUCAAUGGGCGCGAGCCUGAACCAGCCAAGUCGCGUGAGGGAAGACGGCCCUACGGGUUGUAAACCUCUUUUGCCGGGGAGCAACGGGCGCCACGUGUGGCGCCACUGAGAGUACCCGGAGAAAAAGCAUCGGCUAACUCCGUGCCAGCAGCCGCGGUAAUACGGAGGAUGCGAGCGUUAUCCGGAUUUAUUGGGUGUAAAGGGUGCGUAGGCGGGGCGUUAAGUCAGUGGUCAAAUUGAGGGGCUCAACCCCUUCCCGCCAUUGAAACUGGCGCACUUGAGUGGAAGAGAGGUAUGCGGAAGGCGUGGUGUAGCGGUGAAAUGCAUAGAUAUCACGCAGAACCCUGGUUGCGAAGGCAGCAUGCCGGCUUCCGACUGACGCUGAGGCACGAAAGCGUGGGGAUCGAACAGGAUUAGAUACCCGGGUAGUC
rnacentral:rRNA from 1 species